AUUGAACGCUGGCGGCAGGCCUAACACAUGCAGGUCGCGCGGAGCGGCGUCCGGGUGGGUAAUGCCUAGGAAUCUGCCUGGUAGUGGGGGCUAACGUCCGGCACCGGGCCCUAAUCCCGCAUCCUAUCAGAUGAGACUGGGUCGGAUUAGCGAGUUGGGGGGGUAAAGCCCUACAAAGGCGACGAUCCGUAACUGGUCUGAGAGGAGGAUCGGUCAAACUGGAACUGAGACACGGUCCAGACUACUACGGGAGGCGGCAGUGGGGAAUAUUGGACAAUGGGCGAAAGCCUGAUCCAGCCAUGCCGCGUGGGUGAAGAAGGUCUUCGGAUUGUAAAGCACUUUAAGUUGGGAGGCGUUACCAACAGAAGAAGCACCGGCUAACUUCGUGCCAGCAGUCGCGGUAAUUC
rnacentral:rRNA from 1 species